rnacentral:rRNA from 1 species
GGUAUCACCUCAGUAACGGCGAGUGAAGCGGUAACAGCUCAAAUUUGAAAUCUGCCGCAAGGCCGAGUUGUAAUUUGUAGAAGAUGCUUUGGGUAUGGCCCCGGUCUAAGUUCGUUGGAACACGACGUCAUAGAGGGUGAGAAUCCCGUAUGUGACUGGGUGCUUUUGCCUAUGUAAAGCUCUUUCGACGAGUCGAGUUGUUUGGGAAUGCAGCUCAAAAUGGGUGGUAUAUUUCAUCUAAAGCUAAAUAUUGGCCAGAGACCGAUAGCGCACAAGUAGAGUGAUCGAAAGAUGAAAAGCACUUUGGAAAGAGAGUUAAACAGUACGUGAAAUUGUUGAAAGGGAAGCGCUUGCAACCAGACUUGCACGCUGUUGAUCAUCCAGGCUUCUGUCUGGUGCACUCGGCAGCGUUCAGGCCAGCAUCGGUUUUGGUGGUGGGAUAAAGGCCUUGGGAAUGUAGCUUCUUUCGGGGAGUGUUAUAGCCCUCGGUGCAAUGCCGCCUACCGGGACCGAGGACCGCGCUUCGGCUAGGAUGCUGGCGUAAUGGUUGUAAGCGACCCGUCUUGAAACACGGACCAAGGAGUCUAACAUCUAUGCGAGUGUUUGGGUGUCAAACCCAUACGCGUAAUUAACGUGAACGGAGGUGAGAACCCUUAAGGGUGCAUCAUCGACCGAUCCUGAUGUCUUCGGAUGGAUUUGAGUAAGAGCAUAGCUGUUGGGACCCGAAAGAUGGUGAACUAUGCCUGAAUAGGUGAACCAGAGAAACUCUGGUGGAGCUCGCAGCGGUUCUGACCUGCAAUCGAUCGCAAUUUGGGUAUAGGGGCGAAAGACUAAUCGAACCUCUAU